GAUGAACGCUGGCGGCGUGCCUAAUACAUGCAAGUCGAGCGAACGGACGAGGAGCUUGCUCCUCUGACGUUAGCGGCGGACGGGUGAGUAACACGUGGAUAACCUACCUAUAAGACUGGGAUAACUUCGGGAAACCGGAGCUAAUACCGGAUAAUAUAUUGAACCGCAUGGUUCAAUAGUGAAAGACGGUUUUGCUGUCACCUAUAGAUGGAUCCGCGCCGCAUUAGCUAGUUGGUAAGGUAACGGCUUACCAAGGCAACGAUGCGUAGCCGACCUGAGAGGGUGAUCGGCCACACUGGAACUGAGACACGGUCCAGACUCCUACGGGAGGCAGCAGUAGGGAAUCUUUCGCAAUGGGCGAAAGCCUGACGGAGCAACGCCGCGUGAGUGAUGAAGGUCUUCGGAUCGUAAAACUCUGUUAUUAGGGAAGAACAAAUGUGUAAGUAACUAUGCACGUCUUGACGGUACCUAAUCAGAAAGCCACGGCUAACUACGUG
rnacentral:rRNA from 1 species